GACGAACGCUGGCGGCGUGCUUAACACAUGCAAGUCGAACGGAAAGGCCCUGCUUUUGUGGGGUGCUCGAGUGGCGAACGGGUGAGUAACACGUGAGUAACCUGCCCUUGACUUUGGGAUAACUUCAGGAAACUGGGGCUAAUACCGGAUAGGAGCUCCUGCUGCAUGGUGGGGGUUGGAAAGUUUCGGCGGUUGGGGAUGGACUCGCGGCUUAUCAGCUUGUUGGUGGGGUAGUGGCUUACCAAGGCUUUGACGGGUAGCCGGCCUGAGAGGGUGACCGGGCCCAUUGGGACUGGGGAGCGGCCCAGGACCAUAAGGGGGGCAGGAGGGGGGAAUAUUGCACAAGGGGCGGAAGCCUGAUGGAGCAACGCCGGGUGGGGGAUGACGGCCUUCGGGUUGGAAACCGCUUUAGCCUGUGACGAAGCGUGAGUGACGGUAAUGGGGAAAGAAGCACCGGCUAACUACGU
rnacentral:rRNA from 1 species